rnacentral:rRNA from 1 species
AUUUUAGGUGCUUGCACUUGAAAGAUUUAACAUUGAGACGAGUGGCGAACUGGUGAGUAACACGUGGGUAACCUGCCCUUGAAGUAGGGGAUAACACUUGGAAACAGGUGCUAAUACCGUAUAACAACCAAAACCACCUGGUUUUGGUUUAAAAGACGGCUUCGGCUGUCACUUUAGGAUGGACCCGCGGCGUAUUAGCUUGUUGGUAAGGUAACGGCUUACCAAGGCGAUGAUACGUAGCCGACCUGAGAGGGUAAUCGGCCACAUUGGGACUGAGACACGGCCCAAACUCCUACGGGAGGCAGCAGUAGGGAAUCUUCCACAAUGGACGAAAGUCUGAUGGAGCAACGCCGCGUGAGUGAUGAAGGGUUUCGGCUCGUAAAACUCUGUUGUUGGAGAAGAACAGGUGUCAGAGUAACUGUUGACAUCUUGACGGUAUCCAACCAGAAAGCCACGGCUAACUACGUGCCAGCAGCCGCGGUAAUACGUAGGUGGCAAGCGUUGUCCGGAUUUAUUGGGCGUAAAGCGAGCGCAGGCGGUUUUUUAGGUCUGAUGUGAAAGCCUUCGGCUUAACCGGAGAAGUGCAUCGGAAACCGGGAGACUUGAGUGCAGAAGAGGACAGUGGAACUCCAUGUGUAGCGGUGAAAUGCGUAGAUAUAUGGAAGAACACCAGUGGCGAAGGCGGCUGUCUGGUCUGUAACUGACGCUGAG